UGCAUAUUUUGUUAAGAAGAUAUUAAUAAAAGUUGUUCGUCUUGAUGAUGGCUACAGCUUUGCUUAAUAUCUUUUUAACAAAUUAUGCGUAUUUAAGGAGAUACGUCUGCGCAUGCGCAGUAGCGUAACUCCUUACGCUUGCAUAUUUAGUUAAGAAGAUACCAGUAAAAGUUGUUUGUCUUGAUGAGGGCUACAACUUUGCUUAAUAUCUUUUUAACAAAUUAUGCG
rnacentral:miRNA from 1 species